rnacentral:rRNA from 1 species
GUCUACAGCCAUACCAUUCUGAAGAUGCCUGAUCUUUGUGCCCUCAGAUCUAAGCAGGAUCAGACCUUGUUCAGACU